GGGUAUAGCACAGUGGUAGAGCACAUGCUUAGCAUGCAGGAGGUCCUAGGUUCAAUCCCCAGUACUUCCA
rnacentral:tRNA from 1 species